GACGAGUCACCGGCCAUCGCCAAGUAGAGAAGCAAGGAUCGUGCUCAUCCACUCGUCUUUCCUUCUCACCUUCUUUAUGCGAUUCUCUCGCAUUGCGAGCCCGUGGAUCCGUCUCACCUGCUGCAGGGGGGAGGGGGAGAAUUCGUGUCUCUUCCAUUGAACCCUUGUGUCGGUGAACUCCCACCACUCCGAUCUCCUUCGACCAACUAAAGAGAGUCAUUCCACCAGAUCUGCAUUGCAGUCCAAGUGAAAAAUCCUGCAUUUUACGGUGAUUUUGGAUUGAGUGCAUUGAAGGAUGCCACUACCUAUUUCUUUCACUUAGAUCGAGAAGAUAGGUCUCUAACCGGUGAUCAUUUCCCUGAAGCUCAUAAUGAUCGUAGGGUUUGUCGGUGUUUGAUCGCUGCAGGUAGGUUUGUAAGCAGCUUGCAUUUCUAUUAUGUUUUGGUCUGCUCGGGAGAACCAUAUAUUUGAAAUUCAGAUUCCGAAGGAGAAAGAGGAUAAAUUGACAGGUUUUUUUUUUUUUGUUUAAUUUUAAUGGUGUUUCUGGAUGGAUCUGCACCUUGACCUUCGAAAAAUUGGUGGUCAAGAUAAAGUUUAAAUAGACUAGACGUAAGGAGAGGCAGUGAUUUACACAUCAGUCACAGAUUUCUCAUUUCUUUACCCUUUUCUUUGGCACAUCUCACCUCAUUUAGGGUCAGUUGGUUGUAUCUGGAACAAUUAGGGAUAUUUGAAGUGGAGUGAGAAGCGGUUGCCAUUUUCUCAACUUGAAAAGAUGAUCCUUAUUCCCCUGCGGUAGCAGCAGCAUUUUCUCGUUUUUUCUUUUCAAGUUCAGUGAGUGUUUCCCCACCCUAUCGUCAUGUGGUAUCUGUGAGCUUCAACAGAAGUGUUCGGGAUGGAGAUAUCAUAAAUUUAUGCAAUUUUGUCUUUGAAUUUUCAGAAGUGGUUUCAAAGACCAACCUAUUGUCAAGGAAUCUUGGGUAGCUGGGAAGUUUGAGCCUUGAGAUUUGAUAGGUCUCUUGAGAUUUAUCGUUUUGGGCUGGUGAGCAAGCAAGCAAGCUGUCCGUUUGUUCUUUGUUACUAACAUGAAGCAAUAUGUGGGAAUGGCUUGCCUUGACAAGAUGGUGUAGAACAUAGCAGGAUGUUAACCAUCCAGUUACAUAUUGUUGACAGACCAAAAUGGGUGUUUAGAUGGGAUGGGUUGUCACUCUCGGACAAAGAAAGCUCAAGUUCCUCCGGCUGAUUUGUUUUGGUCGAGGACAGAAGGGGAAGAAAUUCGCUCUGGACCACUAAUUUCUGGUUAUGGUCUUUAGAGGUUUUAGAGUUUCCUUUUGACCUUCUCUAAUGCGUCUGUUGGAGGAUUAUUUAUGACUUCCGGCCAGCCAUUGCUUCCAUCAUCUUCUUGUGCUCCAGAAAUUUUGUAUGUGGUGCUGCCUUCCCCUUUGAAUAUUGGCUCCUUAAUCUGCCUGUUUCCCUCUGUUUGAAGCUGAAAGCCACUCUUUAUUUCUAAAGGGAAACCAUACCAUCUCUCUUGGAGGUAGAGAUUGUUGCCAGAAGUCUCUUGACCACUCUGAUUCUUUUGUUACAAUAGAAAGGUUCCAGUCUUCUGACUCUCAGUUUUUUCAAUUGUUUUUGUUGGAAUGCACUGCACAAGGAGGACAGUUGGUAUCCUGGGGUAUUAUGGAAUUGCAGCAUAAUUCUACAAUGAUUGAAACUUCUGGAGCAUCUUUGGUGCAAGACAAGUCUAACAAAUCUCAGCGGAUCCGCCAUAGAAGUUUGCAAUUGGAAGAUAGUUUAUUAUCAGAAGAUAAUCCACGACUGAUUUAUAUUAAUGAUCCAAGAAGGACAAAUGAUAGGUAUGAAUUCACAGGGAAUGAGAUCAGAACAAGCAAGUACACCAUUAUCACGUUCCUCCCCAAGAAUUUAUUCAUUCAAUUCCAUCGAGUUGCUUACUUGUACUUCCUAGCUAUCGCUGCUUUGAAUCAACUCCCGCCUCUUGCUGUUUUUGGGAGAACAGUCUCUCUUUUUCCUCUCCUCUUUGUGCUUUGUGUCACAGCUAUUAAAGAUGGCUAUGAAGAUUGGCGAAGACACAGAUCAGAUAAGAAAGAGAACAACCGAGAAGCCCUAGUGCUUCAAUCCGGUCAGUUUCGAAUAAAGAAAUGGAAAAAGAUACGAGCUGGUGAGGUUGUAAAGAUCAUAGCAGAUGAAACAAUUCCUUGUGACAUGGUUUUGUUGGGGACAAGUGAUCCUAAUGGAAUAGCAUACAUCCAGACAAUGAACCUGGAUGGUGAAUCAAACUUGAAGACACGGUAUGCUCGGCAGGAAACAGCUUCAAUGGUUUUUGAAGGGAAGAUGAUUUCAGGGCUUAUCAGAUGUGAACAGCCAAAUAGAAAUAUUUAUGAGUUUACAGGUAACAUGGAAUUCAAUGAACAGAGGUUUCCCCUCAGCCAGUCAAACAUCAUUUUGCGUGGGUGCCAGCUGAAGAAUACUGAAUGGGUAAUUGGUGUUGUUGUAUAUGCUGGACAGGAAACAAAAGCGAUGUUGAACAGUGCAGCAUCUCCUUCGAAAAGAAGUAAACUGGAAAGCUACAUGAACAGGGAAACUCUAUGGUUGUCAGUGUUUCUUUUUGUCAUGUGUGCGGUAGUGGCACUUGGUAUGGGGCUGUGGCUUGAACGGCACAGAGAUCAACUAGAUACUAUGCCUUACUACAGAAAAAGAUACUAUACAAAUGGACAGUAUAAUGGGAAAACAUACAAAUAUUAUGGGCUCAUUAUGGAGAUAUUUUUCUCGUUUUUGAGUUCUAUUAUUGUGUUUCAGAUAAUGAUUCCAAUAUCUUUAUACAUUACCAUGGAGUUGGUCCGGUUAGGACAGUCAUAUUUUAUGAUUGAAGAUAAGCAUAUGUAUGACAGUGGCACUGACUCAAGGUUUCAGUGUAGAUCAUUGAAUAUAAAUGAGGAUCUAGGCCAAAUACGCUAUGUCUUCUCAGAUAAGACAGGGACACUGACUGAGAACAAAAUGGAGUUCCGCAAAGCCAGUGUCUACGGGAAGAAUUAUGGGAACUCCUUGUGCAAAACUGAUCAUCCAUUGCAAGAAGCAAAUAUUUCAGCAGCAGCUGUAGGAAGGAGGUGGAAGCUUAAAUCUGAAAUCACCACUGAUGCUGAACUUAUGGAGUUUUUGCAUCAAGACUUAUCUCAUGAUGAAAGGAUUGCUGCUCAUGAGUUUUUUCUAACAUUGGCUGCCUGUAAUACUGUGAUUCCAAUACUUACCCGAAGUUCGUCUUCUAGUUGUACAAUGACUGAUUUGCAUGAAGAUGUAGAAGCUAUUGACUAUCAGGGGGAAUCUCCUGAUGAGCAAGCUCUAGUCUCUGCAGCCUCUGCUUAUGGUUACACUCUCAUCGAGCGUACAUCAGGGCACAUUGUGAUUGAUGUCAAUGGUGAGAAACUAAGGUUGGAUGUAUUGGGUCUACAUGAGUUUGAUAGCGUGCGCAAGAGAAUGUCAGUUGUUAUUAGAUUUCCUAAUAAUGACGUAAAGGUUUUAGUAAAAGGUGCUGAUAGCUCGAUGUUCAGUAUUCUAGCACAGGAGACUGAAGGAAUUGGUCAUGGAGAGCCCAUGGGUUGUAAUAUCAGACUGGCAACACAGAGUCAUUUGACUGAAUAUUCAUCGCAAGGCUUACGCACACUUGUAGUUGCUGCAAGGAAUCUUUCUGGGGAAGAACUUGAGCAGUGGCAGUGCAGUUAUGAGGAGGCAAGCACUUCAUUGACCGAGAGAUCAAUAAAACUACGUCAAACAGCAGCUCUUAUUGAAUGCAAUUUAAAUCUUCUUGGGGCUACUGGAAUUGAAGACAAAUUGCAAGAUGGUGUUCCAGAAACCAUUGAGUCUCUUCGGCAAGCAGGAAUCAAAGUCUGGGUUCUUACAGGCGAUAAACAAGAGACUGCAAUUUCAAUUGGCCUCUCAUGCAAACUCCUGACCCCAAAUAUGCAUCAGAUUAUAAUCAAUGGUAAUUCUGAGGAUGAAUGUAGAAAUCUUUUGGUUGAUGCUAAGAACAAGUAUGGUGUGAAAUCAGCAGAUCACAGAAAUAAAAAUUUGAAAAUCAAAAGGAAUGCUGAGAGUGAUUAUCUUGAGAUUCCUGAGGCAAGGACUUCCAAUGUGUCACAUGCGGUGAAAGCGGCAGGCAUGGCAAAUGCUCCACUAGCACUAAUAAUUGAUGGAAACAGUCUUGUUUACAUCUUAGAGAAAGAUUUGGAAAGAGAUCUUUUUGACCUAGCAACUUCCUGUAAGGUUGUGCUUUGCUGUCGUGUUGCUCCUCUGCAGAAAGCUGGGAUAGUUGAUUUAAUUAAGAGCCGUACUGAUGACAUGACACUGGCAAUAGGCGAUGGGGCUAAUGAUGUUUCAAUGAUACAAAUGGCGGAUGUUGGAGUUGGAAUAAGUGGUCAGGAAGGACGACAAGCAGUGAUGGCAUCAGACUUUGCUAUGGGGCAGUUUCGGUUUCUGAAAAGAUUGCUCCUUGUGCAUGGGCACUGGAACUAUCAGCGUGUUGGUUACUUGGUGUUGUAUAACUUCUACCGCAAUGCUGUAUUUGUAUUGAUGCUUUUCUGGUAUAUAUUAUGCACAGCCUUUUCAACAACUUCUGCAUUAACUGAUUGGAGUAGUAUGUUUUACUCUGUCAUCUAUACUUCUGUCCCUACAAUCGUGGUUGGUAUUUUGGACAAGGAUCUAAGUCAUAAGACACUUCUCCAGUAUCCAAAGCUUUAUGGUGCAGGGCAUAGACAAGAAAGUUAUAACCUGCACCUCUUCUGGAUUACAAUGAUUGACACCCUGUGGCAAAGCCUUGUUCUAUUCUAUAUACCUCUCUUCACUUACAAGGAGAGUUCAAUUGAUAUAUGGAGUAUGGGCAGCCUGUGGACUAUUGCAGUUGUUAUCCUCGUGAACAUUCAUUUGGCAAUGGACAUACAACGCUGGGUAUUGAUUACUCAUAUUGCAACAUGGGGUUCGAUAGUCAUUACAUAUGUUUGUAUGGUGAUAUUGGAUUCCAUACCCAUCUUUCCCAAUUACUGGACUAUUUUCCAUUUGGCUAGGUCAGCAACAUAUUGGCUCACCAUCUUGCUUAUAAUAAUCCUAGCAUUGCUCCCUCGCUUUAUUUUCAAAGCUAUACAUCGGACAUUUUGGCCUUCAGAUAUUCAGAUUGCUAGAGAAGCUGAAAUACUGAGGAAACGGCGUGGCGGUUUGGGGUCAAAAUUGGGCCAAGGUUCAAGUUGACAUGUAUGCUGCUUUCCUACAGAAAUACUGGAUUUUAUAUGGUUGGCCUCAAGAUUGUCUGCCAUGUUUGGUGGUGCUUAUCAUCAGGAGCUCCAUGUUUGAAGUCUUGACAAAUUGAUUGGUGACAGCAAGCACGCAUCAUGGUGGUUGAACAUUGACAACUGGGAACUGCUUAAUAAAUUGUUGUAAGAGGAGAUAUAUGGGCAUUUAAAGCCCGAGGAGGAGGAUUCAGGAUGGCACAGAAUGGCAUGAGACGUUUCCGGCCGAGAAUGGAAUACCAUGACCCACCCCCUCAAGUUGGGUUAAUUCGAUCUAUGAAACUAGCAAAGGUGGGUUUCAAAAGAUAUGACUGGGUUGAGAAAUGGGAAACAAAACAAUGUAUAGGAAGUUUGUAGAAAGAUGGAUCAUUCUUCACUUCUAUCUGUAACAGAAAUAUGGAUUUCAAGUCACCCAAUUGAUAGACCCCAAUUGACACACGCCAUCUAACAUUGGUACAUGUUGCAAGGUAACAAUGGUGAUGAUGGACCUGACAUUCAUGGAUCUUGCUUCGAUACACAAGUAAGCUGGUAAGAGGCACCAGCCCACGUCAACCAUGAAUUGUAAAAAAGAGAAUUUAUUUUUCACUAUACAUGAACGUUUUCUUGCCCCUUUGUAUAUCUUUUGUCUUAGCGAGAAAAUAUAUUAUAUCGUCGUAACACCAGGCCACCAUAUACCUUAGUAGCCAUUAUAGGCUAUUGACUUGGAAGUAGAUUAUAUAGUCAAAGCAUCAGGCCGACCGCUUA